rnacentral:rRNA from 1 species
GACGAACGCUGGCGGCGUGCCUAAUACAUGCAAGUUGAGCGAUGAAGAUUGGUGCUUGCACCAAUUUGAAGAGCAGCGAACGGGUGAGUAACGCGUGGGGAAUCUGCCUUUGAGCGGGGGACAACAUUUGGAAACGAAUGCUAAUACCGCAUAACAACUUUAAACAUAAGUUUUAAGUUUGAAAGAUGCAAUUGCAUCACUCAAAGAUGAUCCCGCGUUGUAUUAGCUAGUUGGUGAGGUAAAGGCUCACCAAGGCGAUGAUACAUAGCCGACCUGAGAGGGUGAUCGGCCACAUUUGGACUGAGACACGGCCCAAACUCCUACGGGAGGCAGCAGUAAGGAAUCUUCGGCAAGGGACGAAAGUCUGACCGAGCGACGCCGCGUGAGUGAAGAAGGUUUUCGGAUCGUAAAACUCUGUUGGUAGAGAAGAACGUUGGUGAGAGUGGAAAGCUCAUCAAGUGACGGUAACUACCCAGAAAGGGACGGCUAACUACGUG